rnacentral:ncRNA from 12 species
ACUGGUAGUUCAGUUGGUUAGAAUACCGGCCUGUCACGCCGGGGGUCGCGAGUUCGAGUCUCGUCCAGU